GUGUCAGCAGCCGCGGUAACACGUAGGCACCAAGCGUUGUCCGGAUUUAUUGGGCGUAAAGAGCUCGUAGGCGGUUCAGUAAGUCGGGUGUGAAAACUCAGGGCUCAACCCUGAGCUGCCACCCGAUACUGCUGUGACUUGAGUCUGGUAGGGGAGUGGGGAAUUCCUGGUGUAGCGGUGAAAUGCGCAGAUAUCAGGAGGAACACCGGUGGCGAAGGCGCCACUCUGGGCCACGACUGACGCUGAGGAGCGAAAGCAUGGGUAGCAAACAGGAUUAGAAACCCUCGUAGUCC
rnacentral:rRNA from 1 species